ACUCAAAGGAAUAGACGGGGGCCCGCACAAGCGGCGGAGCAUGUGGAUUAAUUCGAUGCAACGCGAAGAACCUUACCUGGGCUUGACAUACACCGGACCGGGCCAGAGAUGGUCCUUCCCUUGUGGCUGGUGUACAGGUGGUGCAUGGUUGUCGUCAGCUCGUGUCGUGAGAUGUUGGGUUAAGUCCCGCAACGAGCGCAACCCUUGUCUUAUGUUGCCAGCACGUGAUGGUGGGGACUCAUGAGAGACUGCCGGGGUCAACUCGGAGGAAGGUGGGGAUGACGUCAAAUCAUCAUGCCCCUUAUGUCCAGGGCUUCACACAUGCUACAAUGGUCGGUACAACGCGUCGCCACACCGUGAGGUGGAGCUAAUCGCUGAAAGCCGGCCUCAGUUCGGAUUGGGGUCUGCAACUCGACCCCAUGAAGUCGGAGUCGCUAGUAAUCGCAGAUCAGCAACGCUGCGGUGAAUACGUUCCCGGGCCUUGUACACACCGCCCGU
rnacentral:rRNA from 1 species